rnacentral:rRNA from 1 species
UACGUAGGCGGCAAGCGUUGUCCGGAAUUAUUGGGCGUAAAGCGCGCGCAGGCGGUCCUUUAAGUCUGAUGUGAAAGCCCACGGCUCAACCGUGGAGGGUCAUUGGAAACUGGGGGACUUGAGUGCAGAAGAGGAAAGCGGAAUUCCACGUGUAGCGGUGAAAUGCGUAGAGAUGUGGAGGAACACCAGUGGCGAAGGCGGCUUUCUGGUCUAUAACUGACGCUGAGGCGCGAAAGCGUGGGGAGCAAACAGG